rnacentral:rRNA from 1 species
CCUACGGGUGGCAGCAGUGGGGAAUAUUGCGCAAUGGGCGAAAGCCUGACGCAGCGACGCAGCGUGAGGGAUGAAGGUCUUCGGAUCGUAAACCUCUGUCAGCAGGGAAGAACGGUCACUGUGCUAAUCAGCAGUGAAUUGACGGUACCUGCAAAGGAAGCACCGGCUAACUCCGUGCCAGCAGCCGCGGUAAUACGGAGGGUGCGAGCGUUAAUCGGUAUUAUUGGGCGUAAAGCGCGCGUAGGCGGUAUGUCAGGUCAAAGGUGAAAGCCCCGCGCUCAACGUGGGAACUGCCUUUGAAACUGGCAGACUUGAGUAUGUGAGAGGAGAGUGGAAUUCCAGGUGUAGGGGUGAAAUCCGUAGAUAUCUGGAGGAACAUCAGUGGCGAAGGCGACUAUCUGGCACGUAACUGACGCUGAGGAGCGAAAGCGUGGGUAGCAAACAGGAUUAGAUACCCGUGUAGUC